rnacentral:rRNA from 1 species
CCUGACUGCUAUCGGAUUGAUACUAAGCCAUGCGAGUCAUUGUAGCAAUACAAGGCAGACGGCUCAGUAACGCGUAGUCAAUCUACCCUAUGGACGGGAAUAACCUCGGGAAACUGAGAAUAAUGCCCGAUAGAACAUUAUACCUGGAACGGUUUAUGUUUCAAAUGAUUUAUCGCCGUAGGAUGGGACUGCGGCCUAUCAGUUUGUUGGUGAGGUAAUGGCCCACCAAGACUAUUACAGGUACGGGCUCUGAGAGGAGUAGCCCGGAGAUGGGUACUGAGACACGGACCCAGGCCCUAUGGGGCG